rnacentral:rRNA from 1 species
AUGACCGAAUGGGCCGGUCUUCUCAUGUGCGCCGGCCGGAUAACCCGUGUGCCCGGAACCGCCUCUGCCUCAAGCGCCCUAGCUAGAAAUUCCCGGUCUGCCUCGAGCACCCAACCCCAAUCUGAGGCUCCCAACGGUAAUAUCUCCGCGCUGCGCCGCGUUGCCGACCGACCGAGACUGACCCCUCCUGGCCCCUGCCCACCCAGUCCGGCCGAAUCCAGCCCCAACACGCUCCACUUCCCUUCGAUUUCCGCCGCCCGCCGAAGCCGUCUCCGGCAAGGACCCGACCGGCGACACGACCUCUUCCCGGCGGCCCGCCCGCGGCCAGGCGCGCUCUUUCCUCUCUCCCCGCGCUCUGGCCAUGGCCGGUCUGCUCCUCCUCUCUUCGUCCGGGGCCCCGGGUCAUGGCCGUCUCUCGCCUCGCCUCCUCGCGUCCGGGUCGCUUGCGGUUUGAUUUCGCUCGUCCUCGUCGUCGUCCGUGUAGGGUCGCGCCUAGCUCGAUUUCGCUCGUCCUCGCCGUUGACCCGAUGCGCUCGCGUGUUCUUGGUUCCUUCUUUUCUUCCUGAUGUUGCUAUUUCCAUUGAACUACUCAUAGGAGUUCUAGAUGAGCUGCUGCUAAGACACUCACUAUCCCGUGUUUCAUAUUCGUGGCGGAGCGAUGAACGAUUAUGUUCCGUGUCCCUGUGUUUCGUGUUCGCCUGUCUGGUUUUGGAUUUGGAUUACGGAGACGGGGAGAGGCCAAAGCAAGGUGGAAAUAUUGAUACCACUUCUGUGUUAGUAUACUUGAUAUGGACACUGAACGGUUUAUCUGGGCCACCGCACAGCCUGGCUAAUCAGGUUGUAGUGAUUAGGGAGAAGCUUGCAGAACUGUUGCACGACUAUUUGGAGGUAUGCUAUGCGAGAAUUUUAGAUCUAAAGCGUAAAUUCUUGGAAGCUGCACUUCGAUACUAUGUCACUGGAAUAAUGCUUUCUAAGUAUUUAAGUAUGGAGCAACAAAUUGGUCUCAUUGCAAGGUUACUACCUGGACGUAUAGGCAAGCAAUGUCAAGAGAGAAGGUACUACCUUGGUCCUCUUUGUUACCAGAUUCCUAACAUGAAUGAUGUAGCCCCUGCCACUUCCUCACUCUUUCCUGAACAUCAUACCGUGCAUCAGACAUCUGAACAUUGCAGGAAUGAGGCUAUCCAUCGGCUUGUAGCUCAUGAGAGGCAACCACAGUUGCCAACUUGA